GGGCGUGGUGGUGCACGCCUGUAAUCCCAGCGAUUCGGGAGGCUGAGACAGGAGGAUCGCCAAGCUCGAGACCGGCCUCGGGGAACUUAGUGAGCCCCUCAACAACUUAGCGAGACCCUGUCUCAA
rnacentral:sRNA from 1 species